UAUACUUUGGUGUAUGUAGCACAUGAAAUUUUGAAUUUCAUAGAUUAGUUAAAUUCUAAAUUGUAUAA
rnacentral:tRNA from 1 species